UGAGGAAUAUUGGUCAAUGGGCGCGAGCCUGAACCAGCCAAGUAGCGUGCAGGAAGACGGCCCUAUGGGUUGUAAACUGCUUUUAUGCGGGGAUAAAGGAGUCCACGUGUGGAUUUUUGCAGGUACCGCAUGAAUAAGGACCGGCUAAUUCCGUGCCAGCAGCCGCGGUAAUACGGAAGGUCCGGGCGUUAUCCGGAUUUAUUGGGUUUAAAGGGAGCGUAGGCCGCGUUUUAAGCGUGUUGUGAAAUGUAGACGCCCAACGUCUGCAUCGCAGCGCGAACUGGGACGCUUGAGUACGCGCAACGUUGGCGGAAUUCGUAGUGUAGCGGUGAAAUGCUUAGAUAUGACGAGGAACUCCGAUUGCGAAGGCAGCUGACGGGAGCGGCACUGACGCUUAAGCUCGAAGGUGCGAGUAUCAAACAGG
rnacentral:rRNA from 1 species